rnacentral:misc_RNA from 1 species
CCUUUCUCUCUGUAGAUUCAGUGAUACAUAUAUACAGAGAGACAUAUAGUUGGGGUAUAUACUAAAGUAGAGAAUAUUAGCGGGGUUGUAGUCUUUGGGGUGGUGAAGAUGAGCAACAGUGGUAUAGUUGGGGGAUUAGCUAGGGUUUCAAUCCCUUCUGGUAUGCGAAAGACGAUCCAAAACAUCAAAGAGAUCACUGGAAAUCAUGGUGAAGAUGAGAUAUAUGCAAUGCUCAAGGAAUGUUCUAUGGAUCCCAAUGAGACUACUCAGAAGCUUCUUUCACAGGAUACAUUCCAUGAAGUUAAAAGCAAGCGUGAUCGGAGAAAAGAGAAUUCAAUUAAGGAGUCUGCUGAACCAAAGUGGAAACCAGGCAUGCAGGGCAGAGGUAACAAAGGGAUUCGUGGAAAUUUGACUUCUCGUCAUGCUUCACAUGAUGUAGGUGGUGGAAAGAAUGGUCAAAACAAUAUUGCCAAUCAAAUUCUUGACAAGAGUGUCAACUUAUCUACUGUGGUUGAUGUUGAGGCUAAGAAUAUUUCAAGCUCAUCAAGUGCUGCAGUAAAUGGACCUAGCGAUCUAGCUUCGGGGAGUAACAGUAUCAUACAAAAUGCUCAUGCUUCCCCAAAAAGAGAAGUUAAACAAUUUGAAGCAAAUACAGGCAUGCAGACAACUUCUGCUGAUUCCACCAAAAACAGAUCAGCUACAGGAAACAAAGAUGUGCAUGGUCAGCGGAUGCCAAACACCGGCAAUUCUUCAAGAAUGCUAUCUUCACCAUCUCCAACAGGAGCUUAUCUCUCAGCUUCAGAUCCCGUGCUCUUGCCAUCUCAAAAUUCACGUCCCGCUGGUGUAGUAGGCACAGUUAGAAGGGAAGUUGGGCCCCAGUAUUCUGGGGUUGAGCAUGUUUCUCCUAAAUCCAAUGGGAGCAAAAAGACAACUGUAGCAGUUUCUACUGUUGGAAGCUCAAAUAUCCAAGUAAAGACGCCAAGCAAAUUUCAGGGGCCUGGAAAGAAUCAACUUCCGGAGUACUCGCAAACUGCUUCUUCAACCCAUAGUGGUUCUUCCUCCAGUAGGCCGUCAUCUAAUUACAACAAUCGGUCACACACAGUUGGUCCACUAAAAGGUCCUUUUAAGGAGUGGAAGCCAAAGCCUGUAAACAGUAAUCUAGCUCAGGGGUCUACUCUUGCUGCUGCUGCUUCUUCAUCUGGUGUGUCUACGGUUUCUGUUGAAGUCAAUACUCUGUCGCAGGCUCCUGCUUCUGUUCCUGAAACAAAAGAAGUCACUGAGGAUCUGCAGAAGAAGUUGGAGAAAUCACACAUUUCAGAUGUUGAAAAUGUUAUUAUCCCUAAUCACCUUCAUGUUCCUGAGUCUGAAAAACUUGGGUUCUGUUUUGGAAGCUUUGACUCUGGCUUUAGUUUGGGCACAAGCACAAAUAUUGCUCCUGAGCAUGAUGGAAGUCCACCACUUUCUG